CUCGUAGGCGGUUCAGUAAGUUGGGUGUGAAAGCUCCGGGCUCAACCCGGAGAGGCCACCCAAUACUGCUGUGACUAGAGUCCAGUAGAGGAGCGUGGAACUCCUGGUGUAGCGGUGAAAUGCGCAGAUAUCAGGAAGAACACCAGCAGCGAAGGCGGCGCUCUGGGCUGGAACUGACGCUGAGGAGCGAAAGCAUGGGUAGCAAACA
rnacentral:rRNA from 1 species